CCUACGGGUGGCAGCAGUGGGGAAUAUUGGGCAAUGGGCGCAAGCCUGACCCAGCAACGCCGCGUGAAGGAAGAAGGCUUUCGGGUUGUAAACUUCUUUUGUCAGGGAAGAGUAGAAGAUGGUACCUGACGAAUAAGCCACGGCUAACUACGUGCCAGCAGCCGCGGUAAUACGUAGGUGGCAAGCGUUGUCCGGAUUUACUGGGUGUAAAGGGCGUGUAGCCGGGUUGACAAGUCAGAUGUGAAAUCCUGCGGCUUAACCGCAGAACUGCAUUUGAAACUGUUGAUCUUGAGUACUGGAGAGGCAGACGGAAUUCCUAGUGUAGCGGUGAACUGCGUAGAGAUUAGGAGGAACAUCAGUGGCGAAGGCGGUCUGCUGGACAGCAACUGACGGUGAGGCGCGAAAGCGUGGGGAGCAAACAGGAUUAGAUACCCCAGUAGUC
rnacentral:rRNA from 1 species